UACGGAGGGUGCAAGCGUUAUCCGGAUUCACUGGGUUUAAAGGGUGCGUAGGAGGGCAGGUAAGUCAGUGGUGAAAUCUCCAAGCUUAACUUGGAAACUGCCGUUGAUACUAUCUGUCUUGAAUACCGUGGAGGUGAGCGGAAUAUGUCAUGUAGCGGUGAAAUGCUUAGAUAUCGGGAAGAACACCCGUGGCGAAGGCGGCUCUCUGGGACGGUACUGACGCUGAGACGCGAAAGCGUGGGGAGCGAACAGG
rnacentral:rRNA from 1 species